rnacentral:misc_RNA from 1 species
UCAAACUUGGUCAUUUAGAGGAAGUAAAAGUCGUAACAAGGUUUCCGUAGGUGAACCUGCGGAAGGAUCAUUUGAGAUUUAGUAAAUCCUAUCACCCGUGUGCAGCCUUACCAAGUCUGAUAUCCUUGGAGAGAUCAAUCUUGUUUGAGAUUCUCCAAGGAGGUUAUCACAACCAAUGUAUCUUUUCUUUACUCUUCUAUGUCUAAAUCAAUAAAUUUAAUUUGAAACAACUUUCAACAACGGAUCUCUUGGCUCUCGCAUCGAUGAAGAACGCAGC